GGCAACACCUGGACAAGUUACUCAAGUGCAACUUAAUCGCGCUAAAGAGUCUACAAAGUCUGCAGUCUGAUGAAUUUGGAAUCUAGAGUAUGGUUCAAACUCCAUCUCGAAAAGCAUGUAUGUGAGGAAGCAGCCAAAGGAUUUCAUGAUCUGGAACAGGACUGGACUUAUUAGUUUCAAGUGAAGGAUCAAAUUGGAGCGUAGCAACUAUGAUUCUGAACCUAUGCUGCGUUCAUGCGGUAUAACAAUUAGCAAUAGCUUUACUCAAGUUGAAGGCCGUGUUCUACCGGCUCCUAAGCUAAACGUGGGCAAUGGAGAGGAUUUCUUCCCCGCAAUGGACGGUG